UCCCUGAAGUGCCUUGUAUACAGCUGUGGGC
rnacentral:piRNA from 1 species